rnacentral:misc_RNA from 1 species
GCAGAAUUAAGAAGCUAAUUGAAUACUUGCGGUGCAUUAAUUGGUAACAUUUCAUUACCAAUGAUGUUACAAGUACAUCAGCACGAUUAUAUAACAUUAGAAAUUGAUUUGCGUGCAGAUAACAAGGACCAAUUUGUCUAGAUUUUUAGGCAACAAGCAUUACUGAAAAUGGGAAAUGAGAGUUGGACUUAAAGAAAACCAACCACACUAACAUUCAUUUAAAGCCUGGAGAACAUCACAGCAUCCUGAAAAUCAUUUUACGCAAGCUGACCAGAAGUUGAAUAAGUUGUCUAGUUUGCUUAGGACUGCAAUUUGGCUUUCAAUGCCUCCAUCACUGCAGAAAAGUCACUAUCACUAAGGCCAUGACUUUUAGCUACCUUGUAUAGUUCAUUUGCAGCUGCAGCAAUUGGAGUUGGUUGGGAAACAGAUUCUGCUAAUCCCAGUGCAAGUCUCAAGUCCUUCUGCUGAUGCUUCAAGGGGAAAGCAGUAGGGUAUGCAUAUUUGAUCAUAGAUGGACCUUUCAAGGAGUACAUUGGUGCGCUAAUGGCACCCUGCGACACAACCUGCAAUACCGCCAAUGUAUCCUUGAAAAGUAAGUUUCAACAGAGAUUUGAAAUAGGAAAAUUACUUAAUCAGUGAGAUGACCAUGGAAGUAAGAAAAAGAGUAUGUGCCGUGUCAGAAGGGACGAGAAAGGUUCAUAACAGUUUAUCAGCUGGCAAGAUCACCUCCUAAAUAAUAAAUUCUAGUGUCCAGUUACAAAUUGUAUGGCUAAUUCCACCUUAUAGAAUGACAAGCAAGGUCCUGUAACAGCUAUUUAACUAUGUUCCUACAGUUCCCCAAGGCCACUUCAUUUAAAGAAGUAUCCACUAACAGUUGACAAGUGAGGAAAAUUUGCAUGUCCAGAGCAUAAAAAUAAAGAGAACUAUGAUUAGCUGUAAUCCCACAAAAACAAGCAUGAGGAAGAAUUCAAUCAAUUUACUCGGAAUUUUGUGAAAUUAAUGCAAAAAAUGCAAUCCGAUAAGAUGUUUAGGUUUAUUAAUACCUCAACUAGUACAUUUGGGUCCAAUCCUACUUUCUCACUGAGAAGCAAUCCUUCAGAAAAAGUUGCCAUCAUACUGUAAAUUGUUGAGAACACCAGGUGUCACAAUCUCAAUGAGUACAACCACAAAAUAAAAGCAAUGAAUAGGAAAGAGAGUCUUUAGAACCUUCCCAUGAUCAUGUUGACAACAAGUUUCAUUGCGGCCCCAUUUCCAACAUCCCCGAGGUAAAAUCUCGACUGGAUAAAAUCACAAAUAAAUGUGAAACAGUAGUGGUAAUUGCAAUCCUGGUCCUGGGUAAUAAACAAAAGAAAGAUACCUUCCCCAUGAUGUCUAAGUACAGAGCCACUGUUUCAUACAGAGAUUUGUCACCUGAAAGAUGGCACCUUAUGCUUCAGUUUCUACUAGGCCAUUCACUGUGUUAUUGAACACAGAUAAAAAAGGUUAUAGGUUAUAUUAUGAUUAGGGCCAGACAAAAAUAAAAUAGCAGAAAAGAUUUGAAAUUAACCAAUUGGUGACCUAAACUUCCAAAUAUUUCAAAGAUCUAGAUUGUGCAAAAAGUUGGAAUGAAAUUAAAUAGAGUCAACUACAAGUACUGGUUUGAGUCUUAAGAGCAACCAGAGCCACUCUGUGCAAAAACAUUGAAGGGUAGGAGGUAGGACCUCUCUACAUUCUCCCUUCCAAGUACUUACCUUUACAGGACCAUAAAUUUGUAAUGGCCCCAACAGGUUUGAACAUAUUAGAUUAUAAGAAAAAUUACCACUUACCUGCUGUAAGAAAUAUAAGUUGCCCAUCUUCUGCUGGUUUUUUAGAGCCAGAAACAGGAGCCUAAGGGAAAACACUUGAACUUUAGAGAGCAUGCCUUCAAAUACCAUUGUCAUGUAACUUCAACUAAUAGAGCAAAUAUUUCAGUUACAAUAAGAAGAUGUCUUCACCUCCAAAAAUGAUGCCCCAGUGGCUUUGACAUGUCCAUUAAUCAAUUUAGAAGUUUCACCAUCAACGGUUGAAACAUCCACAUAACUGCCAAUGUUGUACAGGUAUAACCGUUUAAGAAAGACAAAAAACAUAAAAAAGACAAGUGAUAGAUGAGAAUCAACUCUUUUUGUCUUAACCAGUUGAUAUUAUAUGAUGCCAUUUCAUAAGCCAAACCAGGUGUGGAUUUAGGAAUUCCCUCUAAUAAAAUCUACUGCCUAUUGAUGAAAGUUAGAAACCAAAGUCAGUGUCAUUCUGGAAGGUGGAUCAGCUAGCAAGCAAGUGUUUGUUCCUUGAAAUGAUUUGUGUAUUAAUUAUGCUUAUAUAAAGGUAACAAAAGGAAUCUGCAAGGUCAGAAAAUUUGAUAUUAUUAAGGAUCUUCCUUGGAAGGGAUAGCAAAAAGAAAAUAUACUGAACACAGAUCCAAGGAAAUAGAAAGCCUGCAACAUAUAAUUUUUUACUCUUCAAUGAAGAAGCAGACAGCGCCUUUUUCUAGGAAUUAAAGCAUUAAACAAUGGCAGCAACUUCCAAAUUGCAAGAUUAACUGACUUAAUCAACUAUCUGCACAAAAUGUUCUGGUGUGAUGCUAAUAGGAGAUGGUCGGAAGAACACAGAAAGAAAACAGAGAUACUAUCAUGAAGGAAAAUGUGAAAUACCCUUUUCCUGGGCCCAAACCACUCACUGCUCCAUGCUUUCCACAUGCAACCUCCACCUGAAUGAUGCAGAUAUAAGUUAUUGCGUAUAAGAUAUUUACAAGCAGGCAGCUGACAUGAAAACAUACGCACUGCACUUUCAGGAUCAGCAAGCAUGGCAAAUGUAACAUCACAAGCACCAGCUACUUCUUCAGGAGAAGCUUUAUAUCUGCAUAAGUGAACAACUAUUCAUGAGAAAUGCUUCUUGCAAAGCAUGGAUGAGGAUCUUGAAAGCAUGCAUCAGAAGAGUUGAGAUGAAAACCAAAAAAUAGUGAACCAAGAAAAAUGUUUUAAAUGUCAGGGAAAAUAAUACCAAUAAGUUUACUGCAAAUAGAAAAGGAAAAUACAUAAAUAAAUAAAAUAUGUAUACACGUGCAUCUUCUAAUUUGUACCAAGGUUAUGUUGUUUAUUAUUUGUUUUGUAAAAACUAUGUAAAUCGAUGACAUGAUACUCAUACAAAAUCCUCAUCUUUUCUUGAGCAUCAACAACAGUGAUGAAGGUGCUCAAGGCCUGUAGUUUUAAUAUAAGCACACCUAUGCAUAACUACAUUGUAGCGCAGUGAUGGAAAUGGAAUUCUGUACGUGAGAUUUUAAGUUCUACCAGUAGCUUAAACUACAAAAAGCUGAGCUUCCUCCAAACAGUUAAUUUACAGUCACUAGUAGAUGAACCAAAAACACAUGAGCAUGAGGAAAUAGGCAUGUAUAUCCCCUCAUAUCUUCAAUUUCAGUAUAACACUUGCUGCAGUAACAAAUCUGCUUUAUUU